GGUCCAGCUGAUUACUUGCAAGCAUUGCCACAACUUCAGGACGGGCUUACGAGAUAAAAGUGCCCAGCCUCUACUGGCGCCACAGCGGGGUCAUCUGGGGUUCCACGGCAGAAGGGAAUGCGUAGAAACAACAACCCGUACAUGAAAAACCAUGAAUGAACCGCAUACAAAAGCACAAGAUACUGUUAAGCAAAAGAAAAAAGAUCUCAUUUAGACACUUUUGAGAUUCACUGUUGCUCCUGUGCGGCAAAUGACCCGAAUGCACACAAAAGGGGUCCGGCCGGCGUAUCCUCAGAGAGCAUGAGAGCGCCGGUGAUGCAGUGGCGCUGUGUGCUGACAGAGGGGGAACAAAGGUGACGCUUGAUGGAACGAACACUCUUUCCUCAUGACACACAGAUUCCCUCAGCGAGCCGACCAGCGGCCACGGAGAACAAACGACGUGGGGAAACAUCGGCAGAACUCUUGUUCUCGGUUUUCCUUCACCGCCCUCCAAAACGUGACGCAGCUGCUCCACCUAAUUAGGAUCCAUCGUGGGCUUCAACCAGAC
ensembl:lncRNA